rnacentral:rRNA from 1 species
GACGAACGCUGGCGGCGUGCUUAACACAUGCAAGUCGAACGGAAAGGCCCUGCUUGCAGGGUACUCGAGUGGCGAACGGGUGAGUAACACGUGGGUGAUCUGCCCUGCACUUCGGGAUAAGCCUUGGAAACUGGGUCUAAUACCGGAUAGGAGCCAUUUUUAGUGUGAUGGUUGGAAAGUUUUUUCGGUGUAGGAUGAGCUCGCGGCCUAUCAGCUUGUUGGUGGGGUAAUGGCCUACCAAGGCGGCGACGGGUAGCCGGCCUGAGAGGGUGGCCGGCCACAUUGGGACUGAGAGACGGCCCAGACUCCUACGGGAGGCAGCAGUGGGGAAGAGUGAACAAUGGGCGCAAGCCUGAUGCAGCGACGCCGCGGGGGGGAUGACGGCCUUGGGGUUGUAAUCGUCUUUCGCUAGGGACGAAGCUUUUUGUGACGGUACCUAGAGAAGAAGCACCGGCUAACUACGUG